ensembl:lncRNA
GUCAUGAUGUCCCCAUGUCUUGCUGUCCCCAUGUCUUGCUGUCCCCAUGUCUUGGUGUCCCCAUAUCAUGGUGUCCCCAUGUCGUGGUGUCCUCAUAUCAUGGUGUCCCCAAGUUGUGGUGACCCCAGUGUACCCCGUCCUUCCGUCCUCCGUCCUUCCGUCCCCCAUCCUUCUGUCCCCAUGCUUCUGUCCCCCAUCCUUCCAUCAUUCUGUCCCCCGUCCUUCUGUCCUCCAUCCUUCUGUCCCCANNNNNUUCCAUACUUCUAUCUGUCUCCCAUCCUUCCAUCAUUCUGUCCCCCGUCCUUCUGUCCCCCGUCCUUCUGUCCUCAUCUUUCCAUCCCCAUCCUUCCGUCUUCCAUUCUUCUGUCUGUCCUCCAUCUCUCCGUCCCCGUCCUUCCAUCCUCCAUCUUUCCAUCCUUCCAUCCUCCAUCCUUCCAUUCUCCAUCCUGUCCGCCGUCCUUCUGUCAUCCUUCUGUCUGCUGUCCUUCCGUCGUCCUUCUGUCCGCCGUCCUUCUGUCAUCCUUCCGUCCCCAUCCUUCCAUCCUCCAUCUUUCCAUCCCCAUCCUUCCGUCCUCCAUCCUUCCGUCCUCCAUCCUUCCAUCCUUCCAUCCUCUAUCCUUCUGUCUGCUGUCCUUCUGUCCCCAUCCUUCCGUCAUCCUUCUGUCCGCUGUCCUUCCAUCCUUCCACCCUUCCAUCCUCCAUCUUUCCAUCCUCCAUCUUCCAUCUUCCAUCCUUCAUCCUUCCAUCCUUCCAUUCUCCCUCCUUCUGUCCCCUGUCCUUCUGUCCCCAUCCUUCCAUCCUUCCAUCCUCCAUCUGCCAUCUUUCCAUCCUCCAUCCUCCAUCUUUCCAUCCUUCCAUCCUCCAUCCUUCUGUCCCCCGUCCUUCCGUCCCCAUCCUUCUGCCAUCCUCCAUCCUUCCAUCCUCCAUUGUUCUGUCCCUCGUCCUUCCCUCCCUGUCCUUUUGUCAUCCUUCUGUCCACUGUCCUUCCGUCCCUGUCCUUCUGUCCGCUGUCCUUCCGUCCCCAUCCUUCCAUCNUCCUUCCCUCCCCGUCCUUCUGUCAUCCUUCUGUCCGCUGUCCUUCCGUCCCCAUCCUUCCAUCAUCCUUCUGUCCCCGUCCUUCUGUCAUCCUUCUGUCCGCCAUCCUUCCAUCCUCCAUCUGCCAUCCUUCCAUCCUCCAUCCUCCAUCCUUCCGUCCUCUAUCCUUCUGUCUGCUGUCCUUCCGUCCCUGUCCUUCCGUCAUCCUUCCAUCCUUCCAUCCUUCCAUCCUCCAUCCUUCCAUCCUUCCAUCCUCCAUCCUUCCAUCCUUCCAUCCUCCAUCCUUCCGUCCUCUAUCCUUCUGUCUGCUGUCCUUCCGUCCCC